GACGAACGCUGGCGGCGUGCCUAAUACAUGCAAGUUGAGCGCUGAAGGUUGGUACUUGUACCAACUGGAUGAGCAGCGAACGGGUGAGUAACGCGUGGGGAAUCUGCCUUUGAGCGGGGGACAACAUUUGGAAACGAAUGCUAAUACCGCAUAAAAACUUUAAACACAAGUUUUAAGUUUGAAAGAUGCAAUUGCAUCACUCAAAGAUGAUCCCGCGUUGUAUUAGCUAGUUGGUGAGGUAAAGGCUCACCAAGGCGAUGAUACAUAGCCGACCUGAGAGGGUGAUCGGCCACAUUGGGACUGAGACACGGCCCAAACUCCUACGGGAGGCAGCAGUAGGGAAUCGUCGGCAAUGGACGAAAGUCUGACCGAGCAACGCCGCGUGAGUGAAGAAGGUUUUCGGAUCGUAAAACUCUGUUGGUAGAGAAGAACGUUGGUGAGAGCGGAAAGCUCAUCAAGUGACGGUAACUACCCAGAAAGGGACGGCUAACUACGUG
rnacentral:rRNA from 1 species